UUUAUUAGAUAAAAAGCCAGUUCAUGCUUUUACAGUAUGAAAAUUGGUGAUUUAUAAUAACUUAGCAAAUCGCAAAGUGAAAACAGGCGAUAAAUCAUUCAAGUUUCUGACCUAUCAGCUUUCGACGGUAUGGUAUUGGCUUACCGUGGCAGUGACGGUUAACGGGGGAUUAGGGUUCGAUUCCGGAGAGGGAGCCUGAGAAACGGCUACCACAUCUAAGGAAGGCAGCAGGCGCGCAAAUUACCCAAUUCUAACAGUUUGAGAGAGGUAGUAACAAGAAAUAACAAUACAAGGCAGUUAAAAUGCUUUGUAAUUGGAAUGAUAGAAAUUUAAACCCUUUUUAAAGUAUCAAUUGGAGGGCAAGUCUGGUGCCAGCAGCCGCGGUAAUUCCAGCUCCAAUAGCGUAUAUUAAAAUUGUUGCAGUUAAAAAGCUCGUAGUUGAAGUUCUGCUGAAAGUAACCGGUCUGCUUUUAAUAAAAGUGGUAUCUUGGUAUGUAUUUAGCAAUGAUGUCCUUUGAAGUGUUUUUUACUUUAUUGUAAUAAAGCAUAUUCAGGACUUUUACUUUGAGAAAAUUAGAGUGUUUCUAGCAGGCUAACGCUUUGAAUACUGCAGCAUGGAAAUAAUAAGAAA
rnacentral:rRNA from 1 species